GUAGGUGGCAAGCGUUGUCCGGAAUUAUUGGGCGUAAAGCGCGCGCAGGCGGUCCUUUAAGUCUGAUGUGAAAGCCCACGGCUCAACCAUGGAGGGUCAUUGGAAACUGGGGGACUUGAGUACCGAAGAGGAAAGCGGAAUUCCAAGUGUAGCGGUGAAAUGCGUAGAGAUUUGGAGGAACACCAGUGGCGAAGGCGGCUUUCUGGUCUGUAACUGACGCUGAGGCGCGAAAGCGUGGGGAGCAAACAGGGAUUAGAUACCCUGGUAGUCCACGCCGUAAACGAUGAGUGCUAAGUGUUAGGGGGUUUCCGCCCCCUUAGUGCUGCAGCUAACGCAUUAAGCACUCCGCCUGGGGAGUACGGCCGCAAGGCUG
rnacentral:rRNA from 1 species